rnacentral:piRNA from 2 species
UACAAAUAGGAUGGUGUUCUUGAUAGUUC